AAGAGCAUUCCCAGAAGGGGCCAGGCAGUGGGCACAGUAAGGAGAGCAGCUGUGUGCAAGAUGAGCGAGAGAAGACCCAAGGGCUGGCCCCACAGGAGGUGGAGCCAGGAGGGCAGGGCCGAGUGGCUUUAGAAACUCCGGGAAGGCCAGGGGUCAGGUGUGAUAGUGGGUCUGAGCAAAGGCACUCUGACAUCCUUCUGCUACUGCAUGAGGCAAGGGAAGAAUCCCAGGAUGUGGUCUGUGAGGCAGGAGCACAGAGGUGACAGGGUGGUGACCUGCCCAUUGCCCUCGGGUGGUAUUCUGAACGCAAAGGUCAGCAGCUGCAAGCAGGCAAUAGUGCCUUUCUUUUCAAAGAGCCAGCUGCUCUGAUUCAGAGACACUCCCUCCCAGUUGUGGGUUUAUCAGGAACUAGAGGACCAACCAACAAGGUCAUUAUCUGUCGCCAUUGCUGCAUUUACUGGUUGGAACAGAAGCCGAUCCUCGGGAGUGUGACUGUGAACCCCAUCAUAAUCUCCUAGAAAGCAAGAACAUCAGGCUUACGUUUUUCCCUGGCCUCUCAGGGCUCAGUGCUCCACAGCACAUACAUUGAGGAAACUGGGCCCUGGAUGUCAGUUUGCCCAGGAGAUCAAAGGGAGCAACAUUCUACAGCACAAACAAGGGAAGCCAACAGGGAAAUACAUCAAUGGGCAGAAUGCAACAGACUGGCGGACAGAUUAAGACUAAAACAGGAAAACUGGGAAAUAUGGAAAAGAACAAGGAAUGGAUGAAAAGCAGUCCUAAUCCAAGCUCUGCCAAGAAAUGACACAUGGGGCUGGGCACGGUGGCUCACACCGGUCAUUCCAGCACUUUGGGGGGCUGAGGCAGGUGGAUCACCUGAGGUCAAGAGCUCCAGAUCAGCCUGCCCAACAUGGAGAAACGCCAUCUCUAUUAAAAAUACAAAAACUGGAGAGGUGUGGUGGCAGGUGUCUGUAAUCCCAGCUACUUGGGAAGCUGAGAUAGGAGAAUCGCUUGAACCCAGGAAACAGUGGUUGUAGU